rnacentral:lncRNA from 1 species
ACGGGUUUCCUGAUUCUAUCCGCACAGGAGACUGAUUUCUUCCCACUUCUGCUCAUCACAUUGGCUGAACCCAGCAGAUCACUGCCCGGUUGUCUGUCCUACAGAGGGAAACGAUCGUCAUAGCCACAAAGAAAACACAGCCCAUUAUCUUACCUGUGUCAAUAGACAACAAAGAAACAGGUCACAUUACACAAUUUUCUGUUCAUGGAGUGGACCUUUUCACAUUGAUUGACCUGGUACAAUGUGGCCAUUUUCUUAAAAUGUCAGGGGCCAUUGUCUUAUCUGUGCAAGGCCCUGGGAAAGCUUCUUAUUCUUGUGAGCAGUGCGUGAAGACUCUUUCUAAUUAUAGCCCUUCUGAAUUCCUUGUCCUUUCCUUUAAAUAAAGUGUCUAGCCAUAUGUUCAAUGAGUAGUAAUCUAAGUUUUAUAUCUUGCUUCAUUUUCUUUGGAAUCUGUUGGUGUCAGUGUUUUUUACAGUGUUACUGUAAAAAUGUACUGAACUUUGGUUGAGAAAACUGG